rnacentral:lncRNA from 1 species
UGACAGUCCCCGAAUCCGGUUCGCUAUUUCUACAACUGUUUGCGAAAGAUAUAAACAUAGACUGUUUAUACAUUAAACUUUACACACAUUUCCCCAGUAUCGAAUAACCUUCACUUAUACACAAUUCAUAAACUAUCUAACACAUAACAAUAAUAUUCUUCAACCAUACUUUUACAAAUUAGCCGCACAUUCUAUCCCAAGCUGAACUUGGCAUUUUCCUUUUCCUGUAACUGGCCGUAUUCGCCUUAUCUGCAAGGUUUUAUCAUGAUAUAGCAAGGGUGAGCAUGAAAGUUACCCAGCAAGUUAAAAAAAAAUAAGGUAAAGAUAUAUCAUGAUUGAAAGAGUUUGAAUAAUAAGCUGGCUAUCCUUCACAAUGUAGUUGUGAAUUAGCAUGAACAAAAUUUCAAAGCUGAAUGAACAUUGAAAAUGAACAUAACAAUUAUAUCUGAACUGACUGGUAAUGAAGGUGAUCAGCCUUUCAUACCUGAUGAAUACAUGCAAUAUGUACAGAGUACAAUUCAUAAGCAUAUCUGUCUGAAACCACUCUUAAAAGAGUUUANN